rnacentral:rRNA from 1 species
AUUGAACGCUGGCGGCAUGCCUUACACAUGCAAGUCGAACGGUAACAGGUCUUCGGAUGCUGACGAGUGGCGAACGGGUGAGUAAUACAUCGGAACGUGCCCGAGAGUGGGGGAUAACGAAGCGAAAGCUUUGCUAAUACCGCAUACGAUCUCAGGAUGAAAGCAGGGGACCGCAAGGCCUUGCGCUCACGGAGCGGCCGAUGGCAGAUUAGGUAGUUGGUGGGAUAAAAGCUUACCAAGCCGACGAUCUGUAGCUGGUCUGAGAGGACGACCAGCCACACUGGGACUGAGACACGGCCCAGACUCCUACGGGAGGCAGCAGUGGGGAAUUUUGGACAAUGGGCGCAAGCCUGAUCCAGCCAUGCCGCGUGCAGGAUGAAGGCCUUCGGGUUGUAAACUGCUUUUGUACGGAACGAAAAGACUCUGGUUAAUACCUGGGGUCCAUGACGGUACCGUAAGAAUAAGCACCGGCUAACUACGUGCCAGCCGCCGCCGCGGUAA